CCUACGGGAGGCAGCAGUGAGGAAUAUUGGUCAAUGGACGAGAGUCUGAACCAGCCAAGUAGCGUGAAGGAUGACUGCCCUAUGGGUUGUAAACUUCUUUUAUAUGGGAAUAAAAUGUUCCACGUGUGGGAUUUUGUAUGUACCAUAUGAAUAAGGAUCGGCUAACUCCGUGCCAGCAGCCGCGGUAAUACGGAGGAUCCGAGCGUUAUCCGGAUUUAUUGGGUUUAAGGGGAGCGUAGGGGGAUUGUUAAGUUAGUUGUGAAAGUUUGCGGCUCAACCGUAAAAUUGCAGUUGAAACUGGCAGUCUUGAGUACAGUAGAGGUGGGCGGAAUGCGUGGUGUAGCGGUGAAAUGCUUAGAUAUCACGAAGAACUCCGAUUGCGAAGGCAGUUCACUGGACUGCAACUGACACUGAGGCUCGAAAGUGUGGGUAUCAAACAGGAUUAGAUACCCCGGUAGUC
rnacentral:rRNA from 1 species